AGUCACUGUCCCUGCGGUGAGAACUGGUGGCUGGAUCGGAGCCUCCAGCUGAAGGGAACCUGAUUACAUCUAGAUUGACCCCUAUUGUGUGACAGCUAAUGACCCAGUUAACCUCUGGCAAAUGCUCUGACAAAAAUGAACUAGAAGCCACAAUAAAGUCGUCAGAUGCUUGAACUUGGACAUCAAAUCCCAUUGAAUGAAGCGACAGAUGCAGACCUGCGACCACUGUGCUGUUUGGGAGCCGUUCAGAUGCCACGAGAGGCGUCGUCAUUGGUAACGCGUUUUAAAACUGGUGAACGACCCUCAUGAAGUCGUGAACAAAACAAAGCACCACCUCAAUUUACACCAUGGUUUCCUUCCUGAAAAACUCGGGAUAUUUUAAAACAGUGGGAAAAAAAUAUUUUUGUGUCUGUGUAAAAUGGAAUUUGGUUCUGGCUCAGGUCAUUUGAAGCAGCUUUUUCAUCUAUGUGAACAUCCAGAGGGGCAUUCAACAUUAGUGCCAGUGCCUGAAGAUCAAGUAGAGUGGUGGGCUGUGGAGGGCGAGCCCAGAAUCAGUCCCUGAGGCGGGUGUCGGUGUCCCGUUUCCAGACGGCGAAAUGAAGCCAGAGAGAGGAAGAAGUUCACCGAGGUCCCACAGCCGGAGAGGGACGAGGGGGGGCUUCAACGGGAUGCUAUUGGGAGGGAGGCCUGAAUCUAACUGCAGUGUGAUUUCCGGCCUUUUGGGUCACACCCCUGGGCAGACUCUGCAGCAGCCCAGCAAACCUUGCAGUCCCCAGCACGAGAAGGGUGGAUUCCAUCUCUGACUUUCCCCUGAAACUGAAGAGGAGGAACACCCUGAUCACCCAGCUGUUAGUAGACUGCCUGGACCCCCGGUCCUGACUUCGUGCGCCAGCCGCUUUGAGUCCGGCUGAUAAAGGCUCACGGGUGUCCCCUCCCCGAAGUACAGCCCUAGGCCAAAGGGGAGCUUCCUUGCCCAGGAGGUUAUAACCCUCAUGCACAUCCUAGCCAGAGAGAGUGACAGAGAGAGAAAAACGCCAGCCCCCUUGCCUCAAGUUGGGAUCAACUCCGGGAUACAGUUCAUGCUCUGGGGCUCUCCAUAUGGGAUCUCUCCCACAUGGGAUCAGGCUGAAAUUACUCUCCUUCCUUGCUUAGCUUUCUUCCCUUACCCUGUUCUGUACCUUCACUCCCUUUUCUUAGGAGCAUCUCCUCAAUAGAUCACGUGCAAAAGGUCUCCGUCAUAGGCUCUGCUUCUAGAGCACUGACCUAAUGUCGGGUCAAGAUGGAAACCAAAAGACCACUUAGGAGACAACGGCAAUAAUCAGGGUAUCCCAUCCAAAUGGCAGAUCGAAAGAUCACUUACUGGGAAGUCAAAGAACAUGGAUUCCAGUCUUGUGUCUACAACGAGCUCUCUGGAUAACGUUGAAUGAGUCCCAUCCCGUCCCCGGGCCUCAGUUUCCUCAUCUGUCACGUAAGCAGCUAUACCGGAUGUUCCUUAAGAUCCUUCCCAUUGUGAAAUUUCUAAGAUUAAGUGAGAGAGAGAGAGAGAGAGAGAUGCGGCAGUAUUCUCUCAACUCCGAAGUGCUUAGUGAUGAUAAUGGGUUCUUCCUGUGAUGAUGAUGUCAGCCUGACACCUCCCGUUCUUACAGGGCCCCCCCAGCACCCAAAUCAUCAGCGCUUCCUGAGAGCUCCAUCUCCUAAGUAGAUUCUGAAUCCACUCACUUCUCUCUUCUCUCCUCCUCCCCACCUUUAUCCAAGCCACCAGAAGAAACCAUGUGGUUUGUGCUGAGCAUCUGCUUUCCUUCUGCGUGUCUGGAAUCUUGGCUGAGCAGAGGACACCUACAUGACCAGCCCCCAGCAAAUGCCAUGGGCUCUGAGUCUCUAAGGAGCUUCCCUGGUAGACAACACUUCCCACCUGUUGGGUCUCCCUGCGCCCUGCACCCCACAGCUCAAGCUGCGCUUCCACACUACAGGUCAGAUCAUGACACUCCUUUGCUUAAAUUUCUCCAAUGAUUUCCCAUCAAAUAAAAUCCAAACUCCUUACUGUGGCCCACGAGGCAUGAUCUGGUCUAUUAACGCUCCUUUAAGAGGCCAAGUCCUUGCUCAGGGUCAUUGUUCUCACUACUUCCCACUCCCUUGCUCCAGAAACGUGCUCCCCAGCACUUAGCCUGGCUGGCUGCUUCUCAUUUUAGGAAUGAAAAGAGUACCUCCCCGGGGAACCCUUCCCUGACCACGCCGAUAAAGCAGCCUUCCAUGGUCAUCACUUCCUACCUCAUCGUCUUAUUUUCUUCUCUUCAUAGCACUUACCAUACAAUCUGAAAACAUCUUAUUUGCUCACGUGUUCGUUAUCUCUCGCUGUCUCCCCAACCAGAAUGGAAGCUCCAUGAGGACAGGAACCUUGUCUGUCUUGUUCAGAACUUUACUCCCAGCAGCUAGCACAGUGUCUGGUAUAGUCAGUGCUUAACAGAUAUUUGCUGAAUGACUAAAUAAGAGAAAGUGCGCUCAGUCGUAGACAGGCUGCCCUUGUUCGCCUGGUUCCUGUUUCCAGGUGCACAGUUGAAUCCAGAGCCCACGCAUCUCGUUUACCGUCUGCUU